GGGCGCUGACGCAGGUCAUGGACCUGUCCAGCGGAUCAUGGCUCCUUACAAGCGAGGGGUCACUGGUUCGAACCCAGUAGCGCCCACC
rnacentral:tRNA from 1 species